rnacentral:rRNA from 1 species
CCUACGGGAGGCAGCAGUGGGGGAUAUUGGACAAUGGGGGGAACCCUGAUCCAGCGACGCCGCGUGAGUGAAGAAGUAUUUCGGUAUGUAAAGCUCUGUCAGCAGGGAAGAAAGCAAUGACGGUACCUGACCAAGAAGCCCCGGCUAACUACGUGCCAGCAGCCGCGGUAAUACGUAGGGGGCAAGCGUUAUCCGGAUUUACUGGGUGUAAAGGGAGCGUAGACGGCUGUGCAAGUCAGGAGUGAAAGGCGGGGGCCCAACCCCCGGACUGCUCUGGAAACUGGAUGGCUGGAGGGCAGGGGAGGUAAGCGGAAGUCCUGGUGUAGCGGUGAAAUGCGUAGAUAUUAGGAGGAACACCAGUGGCGAAGGCAGCUUACUGGACUGUAACUGACGUUGAGGCUCGAAAGCGUGGGGAGCAAACAGGAUUAGAUACCCUAGUAGUC